UACAGAGGUCUCAAGCGUUGUUCGGAUUCAUUGGGCGUAAAGGGUGCGUAGGCGGCGCGGUAAGUCGGGUGUGAAAUCUCGGAGCUUAACUCCGAAACUGCAUUCGAUACUGCCGUGCUUGAGGACUGGAGAGGAGACUGGAAUUUACGGUGUAGCGGUGAAAAUGCGUAGAUAUCGUAAGGAAGACCAGUGGCGAAGGCGGGUCUCUGGACAGUUCCUGACGUGAGGCACGAAGGUCAGGGGGAGCAAAACGGGGAUUAGAAAACCCCUGGUAGU
rnacentral:rRNA from 1 species